UGUUCUGAGGCUUAGUUCGGUUAAGCGCCGGUCCAGCGAAUACGGAGUCAUGGGUUCGAAUCCCACCAGAACGC
rfam:Aedes albopictus isolate Foshan contig37370, whole genome shotgun sequence.